GCACGCCACGCGGGGUGCCCACUGGGCUGAGAGGGAGACGAUCCCGACCCGUCGAACCUGAUCUCGAUCAUGCGAGCGGAGGGAUCGUGGCCGUGCCGGCGA
rnacentral:ncRNA from 2 species